UUAGGACGCACUGGUUGUAGCUGCACUGGAGUGUGAGUGCUCAAUAGCUAAGCAGGGCUGUGCCUGGUUAGUACUUGGAUGGGAAACCAACUUGAAAGACCAGUAUCCUCAG
rnacentral:rRNA from 12 species